rnacentral:lncRNA from 1 species
GAAAUUUUGCUAAUAGAACAAAGAAGGUGAAAAAAAUAGCAUUUUAAUACUAGUCAAAUUUUCAAACCCAGGUUUUAUCCUAGUUGGUAUUAAGUACAUCACAUUUGGUAGGCGCUAUACCUAGGACUUUUUUUUAGAUUAGACUGUUGGGAUUUAAGUCAUUCACCACCGCUUACGCCUACACAUACACACAUUCAUACACACGCGUGCGCGCGCACACACACACACACAUUUUUUAAUUUUCUUAUAUAUAACAUUAUUUUGUUGAACUUUUUCUCUUCUUUAUGUUUUUCAAAGACAAGGUCUAAACUGGUUGGCCUGGAAUUCGUUGUAGACCAAGCUGCCUCUGCCUCCUGAAUUUUGGAAUUAAAGCUAUAUGCCAACACAGCCAACCUGGUUUGUUGAAUUCUAAAAUAUCAUUACUUUCAUACUACUGGUCAGAGAGAUGGCUUGGUGGUUAAGAGCACCUGUUGUUCUUACAGAGGACCUGGGUUUGGUUCCUGUCACAUAUGGCAAGUUAUGACCACCUAGAGCUCCAGUUACCAGGGAUCCAGUGCCCUCUUCUGAUCUCCCAGGACUUCUGUACACACAUGGUUCACAGGUAGACACUUGGGUCAUUAGCUGGUUCUAGGAAGUCUUCCAAAAAGGAUCUUUGUCAGUUUCUACUAUAAAACCAGAGUUCCUUUCUCCAGCAUCUCUUUGGGUUUUAGCUGCAUGGUUUAUAGACAGAAUUGCCAUUAAAGAAACAGCUGAAAAUGAGUAGAUCCCUGGGUUUGUAGCAGUUUAGUGUCAUCACGCUUUUCUGUAUUUUGCUUAUGUUUGAGACUCUAAUUUAGAAGAAACUAUUAGUUCUAAAAAUUGUAAACUAGAAAAAAAAUUUUUUUUGAAAUGAUAUCUUAGAUAACCUUUCUGGUCUUUUUGUUUUGGUUUGGUUUGGUUUGGUUUUUCAAGACAUGGUUUCUCUGUGUAGUCCUGGCUGUCCUGGAACUCACUUUGUAGACCAGGCUGGCCUCGAACUCAGAAAUCCAUCUGCCUCUGCCUCUGCCUCCCAAGUGCUGGGAUUAAAGGCGUGUGCCACCACUGCCCUGCCUUUCUGGUCUUAAGGUUAGUGUGCUACCAGAUGGCCAAUAACUCCUGUCCUCUUGUUUCAGCCUCCAAAAUGUGGGGUUACAGGCAUCCACCACCAUGCUCAGGGAUCUGAAUCGUUUAUUUUUAUUCUAUUUAUAUGCAUUGAUGUUUUUGCCUGUUUCAUACAUGUAUGUCUGUAUAAAGAUGUCAGAUCUUGGAGUUAGAGACAGUUGUGAGCUGUCAUGUGGAUGCUGGGAAUUGAACUCAGGUCCUCUGGAAGAACAGCCAGUGAGUGCUCUUAACCGCUGAGCCAUCUCUCCAGCACAUGUUCAGGGUUCUUAAAGUAGACAUCUGUGGGAGAAGAUGCUGAAGCUGUCAGCACACUAGAAAUUCAGAGGUCUUCAGCAGUAGCACCCAUAACACGAGUGACUGCAGUCUAAACGUACGCAGUCUACUGUUUCUAAAAAGGCCUUUUUCUGUUUUUAAAUCUCUUUAAGUCUAGGAAUAAAUCAAGCUGUGAAAAAAAUCAAUUCUGUAUAUUUUACACUUCCAGUAUCUCUUAUUCAUGCCAUUUAAUGGAUCAGUGACUGGUUUUGGAAGAUGCAGAUAUAGAACCUUUGUUUUCUGGGUAGGUUUAUUUUUAAAACAAGGUCUCACUAUGUAGUUCUCUAGCUUGCCUGAAACUUUUUAUAUAGACCAGGCUAGCCUUGAACUCUAAGAGUUUCACCUAUCUCUGCCUCCUGAGUGCAGUGCUGGGAUUAAAGUUCUAAAUAACAAAGUUCUGGAAUGUAGACUUAAAAUUUAUUGAAAUUGGUUAAACCAUAUUUCCUUUUCUGAACAGUAGGAGCUGGACUAGAUGAACUCUUAAGGUUUUUUUCUUUUUUUCAAUUCCUAGUCUGCAAGAGUCAAAAAAUGAAUAAUCUUAAUCAACAGUAUCCCACAUAAUUGCCUUUGUAGUUAAAUGACUUUGUCACUGAUCAGACUCAAUUAUCAAUACAUUUUUUUUUUAAGCAUGAACACUAGGGAGGACUAAAGCUGAGGUUCAAACCUAGGUCCACAUCAAAGUUUGUAUUCUGUCCGCUCUGGAUCCUAGACAUGUUAGCUGUGGCGGUAUAAUAUAUACUAGUUACACUCAGUGAACACCUUCUCUGCUGAGCACUGAUCACCUGCUCUGUUUACCAGCAUGAGGGUAAGUGUUCAUUAAUUACAUUUUCUAGACCACAACACUUUUGUUAUUAUUGUCACUGAUCUCAAACCCUACUUAGACAAGUCCCUUGACUCAUACUUGUCAGCUUGUCUUCCCUGUGAGUUCACAGUGAUGGGAGCAGAAAGUGCUGCUUAAGUAAAGCAAGCAGUGACCCAAGAUCAGGAAGCCACAGAGCCCAGCUUGCUGGUACACACACACCUUUAAUCUCAGCACUUGGAGGGCAGAGCCUGGCAGAGAUCUCUGUGAGUUCAAAGCCAGUCUGGUCUGCAUAGUGAGUUCUGGGAUAACCAGAGCUACAUAGUGAGACCCUCUCUUGAAAGAAAAGAAGAGAAAAGAAAGGAAAGGAAAGGAAAAAGGAGAGGAGAGGAGAGGAGAAGAGAGGAGAGGAGGAAGAGAGGAGAAGAGAGAAGAAGAGAAAAGAAAAG